GUCGUAACCGGGCUGAAGUCGUACCGUAAGGAGCGGUGGACUGGUUACGAGUGAGAAUGUUGGCAUCAGUAGCGAGAUGUGGGUGAGAAUCCCACAGGCCGAAAACCUAAGGUUUCCUCAGGAAGGUUCGUCCGCUGAGGGUUAGUCGGGACCUAAGCCGAGGCCGAAAGGCGUAGGUGAUGGACAACUGGUUGAUAUUCCAGUACCACUACCAUCGUUAUUAUCGAUGGCGUGACGCAGGAGGAUAGUGUGUGCUAGCUAUUGGAUGCUAGUCUAAGCGUUUAGGCAGUGAGAGUAGGCAAAUCCGCUCUCAUAAUGCUGAGGCGUGAUGGGGAAGGUUCUACGGAACCGAAGUACAUGAUUCCACGCUGCCAAGAAAAGCGUCUAGAGAGAGAAGUAGUGCCCGUACCGCAAACCGACACAGGUAGGUGAGGAGAGAAUCCUAAGGCCGGCGGAAGAAUUACAGUUAAGGAACUCGGCAAAUUGACCCCGUAAGUUCGCGAGAAGGGGUGCCUACGAGAGUAGGCCGCAGAGAAUAGGCCCAAGCAACUGUUUAGCAAAAACACAGGUCUCUGCUAAAGCGUAAGCUGAUGUAUAGGGGCUGACGCCUGCCCGGUGCUGGAAGGUUAAGGGGAACACUUAGCGCAAGCGAAGGUGUGAACUUAAGCCCCAGUAAACGGCGGCCGUAACUAUAACGGUCCUAAGGUAGCGAAAUUCCUUGUCAGGUAAGUUCUGACCCGCACGAAUGGCGUAAUGACUUGGGCACUGUCUCAACUGUAAAUCCGGCGAAGUUGUAGUGCGAGUGAAGAUGCUCGCUACCCGCGAUUGGACGGAAAGACCCCGUAGAGCUUUACUGUAGCUUAGCAUUGAGUUUUGGUAUUGUCUGUACAGGAUAGGUGGGAGACUAGGAAACCAGGGCGUCAGCCUUGGUGGAGUCAACCUUGGGAUACCACCCUGACAGUACUGAAAUUCUAACUGGCGGCCAUGAAUCUGGUCACAGGACAUUGUUAGGUGGGCAGUUUGACUGGGGCGGUCGCCUCCUAAAAAGUAACGGAGGCGCCCAAAGGUUCCCUCAGAACGGUCGGAAAUCGUUCGAAGAGUGCAAAGGCAGAAGGGAGCCUGACUGCGACACCCACAAGUGGAGCAGGGACGAAAGUCGGGCUUAGUGAUCCGGUGGUACCUCGUGGGAGGGCCAUCGCUCAACGGAUAAAAGCUACCUCGGGGAUAACAGGCUGAUCUCCCCCAAGAGUCCACAUCGACGGGGAGGUUUGGCACCUCGAUGUCGGCUCGUCGCAUCCUGGGGCUGAAGUAGGUCCCAAGGGUUGGGCUGUUCGCCCAUUAAAGCGGCACGCGAGCUGGGUUCAGAACGUCGUGAGACAGUUCGGUCCCUAUCCGUCGCGGGCGUAGGAAAUUUGAGAGGAGCUGUCCUUAGUACGAGAGGACCGGGAUGGACUGACCUCUGGUGUACCAGUUGUUCCGCCAGGAGCACAGCUGGGUAGCUAAGUCGGGAAUGGAUAAACGCUGAAAGCAUCUAAGCGUGAAGCCAACCUCAAGAUGAGAUUUCCCAUAGCGUAAGCUAGUAAGAUCCCUUGAAGAACACAAGGUUGAUAGGUCGGGGGUGUAAGCAUGGUAACAUGUUCAGCUGACCGAUACUAAUAGAUCGAGGGCUUGACCAAAU
rnacentral:rRNA from 1 species